ACACACACAUGUGUGUGUGCUUGGAUCAAACAGAAGAAAAGGGCGACCAGGGGGUUUCUUUCAAACCCUAAAAUUCACAAAAACUCACAAAUUGGAAGCCUAAAUCAAGUCUGAAUCGAAAUCUGAAUACAUAUUAGUGAUGACCUCGACAAAGGGAUCGUAAGGUAAAGAAUCCGGAUCGUCAAGUGGACAAGCAUUAGGUGAUACGCGGUUGAAGGGUGUGCUCUAAAGGUGAAUAUGGAACCAAAUCCGGAUGGUGAUCAAACUAUUAUCAAGAACCGAACGCACUAAACGAAGCUUCCGCACUUGAUCUAUUUUGUCUUAGCAUUAUGUAGAUACUUGAACUAUGUUUUCAAAUGUUAUCUAGUAGACACUUGAAGUUAUGUUUUGUAUGUUUAAUGGAUCAAAUAUGGUCUUUUAGUCAAGAAAGUUUUUUUUUUCUUUGUAAACUUGAUAUUUUAGUAUCAAUUCCUUGUUUUAUUUAAUUAAUCUUGUUA